AACGCACGAGACCUGCGGACCUGCGGAAGGAUCAUUACCGAGUUUACAACUCCCAAACCCCAAUGUGAACAUUACCUUUACUGUUGCUUCGGCGGGAUCGCCCCGGGCGCGGCCGAGAGGCCCAGCCCCGGAUCCAACGUGCGCCCGCCGGAGGACCCCCAGACUCCAUGUUUCUUGCAAGGUAUUUCUGAGCUGCUCCUAGCGAGCAAAACAAAAAAUGAAUCAAAACUUUUAACAACG
rnacentral:misc_RNA from 1 species